GCGUAUCGCCAGGGCCAGAAGACAGACGAUGCUUUGCAGAGUGUUGAGCUGGUUUGCUAUUAUGAAGUGGGCAGAACCAUGGCCCAGCCGGUACCACAGACAAUGGUGGAUCUAGACACGUAGUGUGCCAGCCCAGACAGCAGGUAGGCUCAUCGCAGAGCAGAAGAGUGGAUGUCGGCCGUCCUCGUAGACAGACCGAACAGAUCAUUCCGGGGUCAUCAUCAGUAUUGGUGCUUUCGGAAGCAGGUGGCUCCGCGUAAUCUGCUAAACGUGGAUUGACAGUGUGACGGCGACGGUGUUGCCGUGCGUGUUGUGCUGCAGGUAUCUCAUCUGGUGUUCCAGAUGUCAGACGAGCUGACCUAUCCAAGCGUCGCUUGCCACGCGGGACCAGUGGUCUGGUUGCUUCACGCAAGGGGUUGUGCUCUGGUGUAGGCGACGAUAGAGCCGGAGGCUGGUGUACAGCCACCCUGGUCGGCUCAUCCGGUAUAAUGCCGCGGCUACACUCCUCUUCCUGUUCAGUUAUGAGGAUCUGAACCUCGGAGGUGAUGGCUGCAAUUGAGCAUGCCAAGAUGGCGGCAUCCUCAAGUGGGUCCGGACUGGGGUCGAUCUCUGUAGGCAAAUUACGGUGGGGCUCCAUCAGAUGUCCCAAGCGGCUCAAACCAUCCACGUUUGAAUUCUUGCGUCCGGCCUUAUGCAUCACUUCAAAGUCGUAGGCUUGAAGCUUGAGCGCAUAUCGAGCCAGCUUUCCCAGAAGAUCUCGAGCGCGUGCAGUCCGCAAAGACCGAACCGCCAUCGAAUCCGUGAUGAGUACAAAAAGAGUGCCGUACAAGUAGGGGUGAAAGUGUUUAAUUGCCCAUAAGGCAGCGUAGGCCUCUCCAUCUGCCGCGCUGUAAUUCAGCUGUGAGCCAGUCAUAGCCUUACUAGCAAACUGAACGGCGUAUUCAUAUCCUUUGUUGUCCUGCUGGGCCAGGCACGCGGCGACGGCAGUGCGGCACCAGUCGACUUGGACCAAGAACGGGCGUCGGAAAUCAGGUGCGCGGAGAACAGGCUCCCCCAGCAAAGCAUUACGUAGCUCUUGGAAAGCGUCCUCUUCUCGCGGACCCCAGCACCAGGGUGUCCCCUGCUUAAGUAGUGCAUACAAUGGCUGUGCAAUCAAGCCGAAGCCAGGGAUAAGUUCCCGGUAGUAACCAACAGCUCCCAGCCAAGCUCGUACUUCGCGAACAUUGGAUGGCGACGGAAGUUCUGCAAUUUUCAUGACGUUGGUGGGGUUAGGUCCCACGACACCACGUACUCCGUCAAGCAGAUGACCAAGGAAAACCACGCGUUGUUGGCCAAACGUGCACUUCUUAGCUGCGAUCUUGAGACCAGCCAUUCGGAGAAGGUCGAACACUUGCUGAAGAUGUCGUACAUGAUCUUGUAGUGUUGGGCUGAAGAUAAGGAUAUCAUCCAGAUAAACCACUACACACCGUUCCCGCGGUGGGCUAUCCAAUGAAGCAGGGGGUGGAGGCGAAUCCUCUAUUAGUGGGCCCAGAACCUUGUGCAUCAGGGUAGCGAACACGGCGGCUGCUCCCUUUAGACCCAUGGGCAUUCGUACAUAUCGAUACUGAGCUGUGGGCGUGGCAAAUGCCGUACGCUCCUUAGAAGCCUCGUCCGCCAUCGGGACUUGCCAGUAGCCCGACUUCAAGUCCAGGCUGGAGUAGUAACGAGUCUCGCCACCCGGAGGUGCAGCAAUAUCCAAAAUAUCCUGGAUGUGGCCUAUCGGAAACCGGAUGUCCUUAGUGACGUCGUUGACCCUCCGCAUAUCUACACAGGGCCGGAGUUCUCCGUUUUUCUUGGGAACGACUACGACUGGAGACACCCAAGGACUGUUGGACAGUUCGAUGAUUCCGUCCUGUAGCAUCUGCCGCAUCUCAGCAUCAACGGCGGCUUUCUCCGUUCGUGACAGACGGUAAGGAUUCUGCACGAUAGGAGGAUGAUCUCCUGUGUCCACCUUCAUGGACACCCAGGACGUAAGCCCUAGCUCUCGGUUGGUUAAGGCGAACAUGUCAAAGUUGUCAGUCAAACAUGCGACCAGCUGCUGGUGGUCGAGGUACUGAAGAUCGGUGUUUACUUUGCUGCUUAGCAACUCGCGUAGCUCAGGGGUAGGGCUCUUGACUGGCCGAACCGCACGGGCUACCAACCCGCGAAAAUGAGCCUCCUCUAAAUGUCCGUCAUGAUCCAAGCCGUCUGNNNNNNNNNNNNNNNNNNNNNNNNNNNNNNNNNNNNNNNNNNNNNNNNNNUUCCCGGUAGUAACCAACAGCUCCCAGCCAAGCUCGUACUUCGCGAACAUUGGAUGGCGACGGAAGUUCUGCAAUUUUCAUGACGUUGGUGGGGUUAGGUCCCACGACACCACGUACUCCGUCAAGCAGAUGACCAAGGAAAACCACGCGUUGUUGGCCAAACGUGCACUUCUUAGCUGCGAUCUUGAGACCAGCCAUUCGGAGAAGGUCGAACACUUGCUGAAGAUGUCGUACAUGAUCUUGUAGUGUUGGGCUGAAGAUAAGGAUAUCAUCCAGAUAAACCACUACACACCGUUCCCGCGGUGGGCUAUCCAAUGAAGCAGGGGGUGGAGGCGAAUCCUCUAUUAGUGGGCCCAGAACCUUGUGCAUCAGGGUAGCGAACACGGCGGCUGCUCCCUUUAGACCCAUGGGCAUUCGUACAUAUCGAUACUGAGCUGUGGGCGUGGCAAAUGCCGUACGCUCCUUAGAAGCCUCGUCCGCCAUCGGGACUUGCCAGUAGCCCGACUUCAAGUCCAGGCUGGAGUAGUAACGAGUCUCGCCACCCGGAGGUGCAGCAAUAUCCAAAAUAUCCUGGAUGUGGCCUAUCGGAAAUCGGAUGUCCUUAGUGACGUCGUUGACCCUCCGCAUAUCUACACAGGGCCGGAGUUCUCCGUUUUUCUUGGGAACGACUACGACUGGAGACACCCAAGGACUGUUGGACAGUUCGAUGAUUCCGUCCUGUAGCAUCUGCCGCAUCUCAGCAUCAACGGCGGCUUUCUCCGUUCGUGACAGACGGUAAGGAUUCUGCACGAUAGGAGGAUGAUCUCCUGUGUCCACCUUCAUGGACACCCAGGACGUAAGCCCUAGCUCUCGGUUGGUUAAGGCGAACAUGUCAAAGUUGUCAGUCAAACAUGCGACCAGCUGCUGGUGGUCGAGGUACUGAAGAUCGGUGUUUACUUUGCUGCUUAGCAACUCGCGUAGCUCAGGGGUAGGGCUCUUGACUGGCCGAACCGCACGGGCUACCAACCCGCGAAAAUGAGCCUCCUCUAAAUGUCCGUCAUGAUCCAAGCCGUCUGGGGCAAGGGCAGCUGGUAUGUUCGCAUCAAACUGUGCUGCCACAGCAUGGCUGUGGGUAACGGAAGCACACUCCUCAGUUAGCAAUCGUGGUAACAGGAGCUCUCGCGAACUCAAGACGGGAGUAGCUUCAGGAAAAGAACGGAAUGGAUCCGCAGGGGUCGAUAUUGGCAGUCCAGGUCCGGAGUGCGAGUCAUUGUCGUACUCGAACUCAUCUCCAGGCCAGACAUUUGCCCGAGCCUCUUCACUGCCAGAACUGACGACGCUGUCGGUACUCCAUGCAUCCGCAGCCCAUUCGCCGCUGGAGGCAUUUUCUGACGGAAUCUCGUCUGACCUAAGCACUUGCCGUACAAGUAUGCCGACGAUGUGUUCCAUGUCCAUGUCCCCACGGGCUGUCGAAUCACCAUCACUAACCUCUCCGCUGCUUGCCUCAGGCGAAUCAAUGGUCUCAGGCGCGGAGCCUCUAUUGAUAGCCGCAGGUGACAUCUGCCCUUGUGGCGUGGGCGUCUCAGGCCGCUGUACUGAUGCCUCGGCCGUCAACAUGGAAGCUGGUUGAGUGUCGUCUUGCUCAGGUGAGUCGUCCCAAAGUCGAGCAGACGGGGAAAUAUUAGAGCCGGGGCUCCGAAGAAAAUGGAUAGCAAUGUUGGACCGCUGAUCCCGGUCAUUGGUGUAUUCCAGACGACCACUGUCGUACGAAAUACUUGCUCGUAUUGGGUAGAGGAAGUCGGUGCCCAGGAGUAGCUGAUAGUUGAGGGCGGUGCUGACGAACGGACUCAGCAGCGUCGUUAGGUCGCCAGUGGACACUUGCAGUUCACUGACACGUCCAGCGGCCCGACCACGAUUGCCAUCCGCAUUCAGGAACGUCACCUCCGUCUCCUCCAUCAGGUGUAGAAGAUCUAAACGCCGUAGUGUGUCUCGUGUAACAACGCUAUGAGAAGCCCCAGAAUCGAUGACAGCAGGGACGGGAACUUGUCCUCCAUGUCCGUCAAUUAUCCAUACGGUAGCUUUGCAAACUUGCCAGGGUGGUACGACGGCAUCAGACUUCCAGGCGGGUAUUGUUGAAGAUGGUCGCUCUGAAAGAGAAGCUUGCAUGGUGCCUGCCGCAGGCCUCGCUGGACCAAACAUGGGCCCAGGCUGGGGGUUGCCAGUGUUGGUGUGCUGACGAGCCAACCC
rnacentral:lncRNA from 1 species